rnacentral:tRNA from 1 species
GCCUGGUUAGCUCAGUUAGUAGAGCGCUCCGCUGGAAAUGGAGAGGUCCCAGGUUCGAUACCCAAACAAGGCG